UACAGAGGGUGCAAGCGUUAAUCGGAAUUACUGGGCGUAAAGCGUGCGUAGGUGGUUUGUUAAGUCAGGUGUGAAAUCCUGGGGCUCAACCUCAGAAUUGCGCUUGAUACUGGCAGACUCGAGUGUGGUAGAGGAUAGUGGAAUUCCCGGUGUAGCGGUGAAAUGCGUAGAUAUCGGGAGGAACAUCAGUGGCGAAGGCGGCUAUCUGGACCAACACUGACACUGAGGUACGAAAGCGUGGGUAGCAAACAGG
rnacentral:rRNA from 1 species